UAGGGAAUCUUCGGCAAUGGACGAAAGUCUGACCGAGCAACGCCGCGUGAGUGAAGAAGGUUUUCGGAUCGUAAAACUCUGUUGUUAGAGAAGAACAAGGACGUUAGUAACUGAACGUCCCCUGACGGUAUCUAACCAGAAAGCCACGGCUAACUACGUGCCAGCAGCCGCGGUAAUACGUAGGUGGCAAGCGUUGUCCGGAUUUAUUGGGCGUAAAGCGAGCGCAGGCGGUUUCUUAAGUCUGAUGUGAAAGCCCCCGGGUCAACCGGGGAGGGUCAUUGGAAACGGGGAGACUUGAGUGCAGAAGAGGAGAGUGGAAUUCCAUGUGUAGCGGUGAAAUGCGUAGAUAUAUGGAGGAACACCGGUGGCGAAGGCGGCUCUCUGGUCUGUAACUGACGCGGAGGCUCGAAGGCGGGGGGAGCAAACAGG
rnacentral:rRNA from 1 species